rnacentral:lncRNA from 1 species
UGUAUAUAGUUAUAAUCACAUAUUUCUUUCUAUUUUCUUUUUUUUUAACCUAGAAAUUUUUUUAACUCAUGAAUUCUAUUUUGUUUCCAGUUCUCCUCCUCGUCCCACUGAAGGGGUGACUGAACAAAUGGCUAUGUGGCCAUAUUAACCUGCUGCCUGCCAGGUUAAACUGCAAUAAAAGGAGCUCCUCCCAUUGAGUCAAGAAGUUUGGACAGGACCUUAAAAUCCUUGAACCACAGAGUGCUCUGGCAGCUAAGGAUGGCAGUGACAGUCCUCACUCUUGUGUAUGGAAAAGCCUGCAGGGAGAACCUGUGUUCUGCCACUAUUAUAUCAGAGUCUUGUCCCUUUCAAAGUGGGAAAUGCAGAGCAUUUUUGAUCAGUCCCUUCAUAUUGGCAUAGUAGCAAAAUUUUCAGUGAAAAGAAUGGGCUAUCAAGAUGUAUGAAACGUAGUCUUUUACAUGUAAGUGCUGAAUGUUUUGGCAUGCAUAAUGUGAUACCAAAUAUACAAGGCAUGGGAGGAAGCUAUAGUGGAAAAGCUCAUGGUGGAGGCAUAGCAAGGGAGCAGAUCUGAGG